CCUACGGGAGGCAGCAGUGGGGAAUAUUGCGCAAUGGGGGAAACCCUGACGCAGCGACGCCGUGUGAGUGAUGAAGGUUUUCGGAUCGUAAAGCUCUGUCAGGUGGGAAGAAUAAGGUCUGUGAAAAUAUUGCAGUCCGAUGACGGUACCACCAGAGGAAGCACCGGCUAACUCCGUGCCAGCAGCCGCGGUAAUACGGAGGGUGCAAGCGUUGUUCGGAAUUAUUGGGCGUAAAGGGCGUGCAGGCGGGUAUGCAGGUCAGGUGUGAAAUCCCUCGGCUCAACCGAGGAAGUGCAUCUGAAACCGUGUAUCUUGAGUACGAGAGAGGCAGAUGGAAUUCCCAGUGUAGAGGUGAAAUUCAUAGAUAUUGGGAAGAACACCGGUGGCGAAAGCGGUCUGCUGGCUCGAUACUGACGCUGAGACGCGAAAGCGUGGGGAGCAAACAGGAUUAGAUACCCUGGUAGUCCACGCCGUAAACGAUGUGCACUAGGUGUUGGGGGUAAUUAAACCUUCAGUGCCGCAGCUAACGCAUUAAGUGCACCGCCUGGGGAUUACGGUCGCAAGACUAAAACUCAAAGGAAUGACGGAAUCUCGACUGCAGGAACCC
rnacentral:rRNA from 1 species